rnacentral:tRNA from 1 species
GCAGAGGUAGCGAAGUGGUCAAACGCGCUGGACUCAAGAUCCAGUCCCUUAGUGGGUUCGGGGGUUCGAAUCCCUUCCUCUGCA